rnacentral:rRNA from 1 species
CUGGCCGUAAACGAUGGGCACUAGGUGUUGGAGGCAUCGACCCCUCCAGUGCCGCAGCUAACGCAUUAAGUGCUCCGCCUGGGGAGUACGGUCGCAAGAUUGAAACUCAAAGGAAUUGACGGGGGCCCGCACAAGCGGUGGAGCAUGUGGUUUAAUUCGACGCAACGCGAAGAACCUUACCCAGACUUGACAUGCACAGGACCGGUGGUGAAAGACACCUUCCCUUCGGGGCCUGUGCACAGAUGCUGCAUGGCUGUCGUCAGCUCGUGUCGUGAGAUGUUGGGUUAAGUCUCGCAACGAGCGCAACCCUUGUCGCUAGUUGCCAUCAUUCAGUUGGGCACUCUAGUGAGACUGCCGGUGGUGAACCG